GCCUUCAAGGUUAUAUUUCUCUUCUGACUAUUUCAGAUUAACCUUUGUUUGGGGUGACUUAAGGAGGUGUACUUCAUACAAUCAAGACCUCCUUCAUUGAGUAUCAUAUUAUACAAAAAAAAGACCCAGGGAAGAUAGACUGCUACUUUCAUUGUCGCUGAUUUGUACAAUUUAUUGUCAGGUUGGAGGGCUGUGAAGAUCAUCUUUGUGUGUGAUUCAGGUCUCUGUCAUUCCCUGCUGGUACAGCCAUAGCAACAUCAUGGGAGUUCUCCUUUACUCUUACACUCUGACCCUGCAAAAUGUUCCCUAAGCACUUCAAUCCACACGUCGAUGACCCUUGUCAACUGCCAGAUUUUUUUUUGUUUUUUUUUUACUUGUAGCCUAUAUAACAGCUUCAAAGUCCCUCUGUUGGUAAACUUGAAAUAUGAGAAUCACCUGCAUUUUGGAGCUGCAGCAUUCUAUGGAGUAUUGCAACUUUUUCUCUCCCGACCCGUUGCAGUUCAAGGAAGAAGGACAACACAGUAUAGAGAAAAUCCAGAAAAUAUAAUGUGGAUGGUACGGACGACAUAAAACAAGUUUUUUGGCAAGACAAGAGGGCUGUACCUGGAGCACAUGUUGCACAUGAUGACAAAACCUCUUCAGUUAGUCAUGCACAUCAGCUUGCAUCACAUAAGCAUAUAAGGCCAUUUGACAUUCAUGCAUCAUUUGUCAGUCUAUUUAUUUUCUGUUUAUUUCCUUUGUUCAUAUAUUAACAGACUGUACUGUAGCUUACACACUGUACAGUCAUUUGAGUCAGAAGACUAAGCAUUUCACUUCAUAUCUCUUAUCAAAAAGUCCUACACUCUCAAAAAUAGGGGUACUGUUGGGGUACAUUUUCGUUCUUUCAAGUACAAUUUUGACCCUGUACCUUGUAUUGGUACUAAUAGGUACCAUUUCGGGUACAUAAAUAAUGUACCUUUUCACCAAGGGACCAUAUUGUACCUAUGGGUACAAAAAGCCCAUGGACUGUCACUCAGAAGUUGAUAGGGGAGGAGAUUCGGGAGCAACCGUUAUUUUUUCGUCUCACUCCAAGUAAUGGAGGAGCAGUUUUCAGCAGAGGAGCUUGGUGUGGGGAAACGUGCUGUGGUGCUGGCAUCAUCUUUAUGGAACAGGAGGCAACGCUAUUCAGAGAUAACCACCAAGGCAGAAUGUUGGCGUGUGGAAGUACCUCUACUCAGAGUGAUAGAGAAAACUAUGGCUCUGCUUUUACUGAAGGAAUGGCUACCGGAGCGGGCAGCUUUAUGAAUAUAAGGUGAAAAGGAUGUAUGGAGAAGUUUUGGGAGAGUCAGACAGUCCACGGAACUUGCAAUGACUUAGCAAUGAUCUAUGCCAGACGUACAACCCCUGCUGUCAUUGGUGAUACCACUGCUUGAAAAUAUGUCAACGUCCUGUAGAUCAAGUAAGGUUCCAGUCGAAGUCCUCCUGAAGAAUUUGUUGGAUUUCUGCCAGUUUUUGAUAUUGAACUUUAGUGCCUUUUGAGACUCUUGGCUUUUUAAUGGCACGCCUCAUUCUACCCAAAUGGAAGGAUUGGAGUGUGUUUAUAUUGUAUAUGUUUAUAGGCUUGCUAAUAUUUGCUUAGGCUUUCACAUUGUUUUCUGAGAUACUACUCAAUGAUGUCAUUGUGACUCAUUGUAUCACACUUCAAGACGCGUAUCUUUUACUCAAUUAGUGUAUGCACUGUGAAUCCAAACAUGAGAAUUCUAAGAUUAUAGCAACUGCAAAGUUACUGCAAGGACAAUGUUAGUUUUGUAAAAACCUUAAGUGACAAGCACAAGAUGCGAUAGUGCUGGGAGCUUUUCUCUUGUAACAUUUUAAUGCAUUUGUAAUGGUGACGGUAAGCAGAUACUACAUUUUCAUCUCAUAUGUUAGUAUUAACAUGAGCUUAAAAGCAUGCAAGGUUUUUUUGUGUGAAGUGGUUAACUCAAAUAUUGGUAUAAUAUAGAUCAAGGUUAUUAAUGUUGAUCACCUAUGGUGCAAGUUAAUCAUUUUUUUCCCUCUGCAUAUAAACACAAUGUGGAAGCAAAAUAUUGGAGAUCAAACUGUUUUAUAUUUACACUUACAUAAAGAGUUACAACAUGUUUUACGUUAAUAUGCAUAUUGAUUAAUGUAAGAUACUUUGAUGUUUUGAUAUGAAUGUGUUAACUUUUAUGUACCUGUAUUCAUGUGGAGUAUUGUGUGUAAUAUCACAAAGUGAUUUUUCUCUCAGAAUAAACAUUUUAAUUUA